UACGCCGAAAGGGGUACUAAUACCGGAUAUUCUUGCUUUUCGAUAAGUUAUGCAAGCAAAGGUGGCCUCUGCAUAUGCUACUGCAUGAAGAGGGGUCUGCGUACCAUUAGCUAGUAGGUGGGGUAAUGGCCUACCUAGGCGACGAUGGUUAGCGGGUCUGAGAGGAUGAUCCGCCACACUGGCACUGGAACACGGGCCAGACUCCUACGGGAGGCAGCAGUGAGGAAUAUUGCGCAAUGGGGGAAACCCUGACGCAGCGACGCCGCGUGAGUGAAGGAAGGCCUUCGGGUCGUAAAGCUCUGUCAAGAGGAAAGAAGUGUACAAUGGCUAAUACCUGUUGUAUUUGACGGUACCUCUAAAGGAAGCACCGGCUAACUCCGUGCCAGCAGCGGC
rnacentral:rRNA from 1 species